UCUUUAUUUACACUUCCUUGCUGUGAUCUUUCCCAGGAAUGUGGAUUCAGACAGCCCAAAUUGUGUCUAACUUAGUGAAAGUAAGGCAAAACAAUGGUGGCAAAGGGGAAGAAAAAACUUGUGGCUACUCAUAAGAGAACCAUCAUGUGGAAAAAAGAAAACCUCCAGACUGAGGUCAGUCAUUUGAUGUGCGGAAACAGACACCCCUCUCAAAUCCACAUGAGAGUGACUUCAGCAGUAAGAAACAUGUGCCUAUCUCCAACACAGCAAAAGUGAAAAGAAGGUCAGUACCUUGACAGUUGGCAUUUUUGCUUCAGUAGGAAAGACACAUCCAUCCAUCCAGUUCGCAACACUGAUCUGCUGUCAUCCAGAGAUAGAUUCCUCCACAUGUCCAUUUUGUAUGAUAUGGUGGUAGUCAGCAUGGUUUGUCAAUAUCUUGCUUUUACAGAUGAUAGGAUAACCAAAACAUUAACAGCAAUUCCUUUACUUCUCCUUUCUCUCUGCAUUUGAAGUAAAAUUAUCGGGUAGUUCUCAGAUCAGCCUUAGCAAACAGUGGG
rnacentral:lncRNA from 1 species